AGCGUACACGGUGGAUGCCCUGGCAGUCAGAGGCGAUGAAGGACGUGCUAAUCUGCGAUAAGCGUCGGUAAGGUGAUAUGAACCGUUAUAACCGGCGAUUUCCGAAUGGGGAAACCCAGUGUGUUUCGACACACUAUCAUUAACUGAAUCCAUAGGUUAAUGAGGCGAACCGGGGGAACUGAAACAUCUAAGUACCCCGAGGAAAAGAAAUCAACCGAGAUUCCCCCAGUAGCGGCGAGCGAACGGGGAGCAGCCCAGAGCCUGAAUCAGUGUGUGUGUUAGUGGAAGCGUCUGGAAAGGCGCGCGAUACAGGGUGACAGCCCCGUACACAAAAAUGCACAUGCUGUGAGCUCGAUGAGUAGGGCGGGACACGUGGUAUCCUGUCUGAAUAUGGGGGGACCAUCCUCCAAGGCUAAAUACUCCUGACUGACCGAUAGUGAACCAGUACCGUGAGGGAAAGGCGAAAAGAACCCCGGCGAGGGGAGUGAAAAAGAACCUGAAACCGUGUACGUACAAGCAGUGGGAGCACGCUUAGGCGUGUGACUGCGUACCUUUUGUAUAAUGGGUCAGCGACUUAUAUUCUGUAGCAAGGUUAACCGAAUAGGGGAGCCGAAGGGAAACCGAGUCUUAACUGGGCGUUAAGUUGCAGGGUAUAGACCCGAAACCCGGUGAUCUAGCCAUGGGCAGGUUGAAGGUUGGGUAACACUAACUGGAGGACCGAACCGACUAAUGUUGAAAAAUUAGCGGAUGACUUGUGGCUGGGGGUGAAAGGCCAAUCAAACCGGGAGAUAGCUGGUUCUCCCCGAAAGCUAUUUAGGUAGCGCCUCGUGAAUUCAUCUCCGGGGGUAGAGCACUGUUUCGGCAAGGGGGUCAUCCCGACUUACCAACCCGAUGCAAACUGCGAAUACCGGAGAAUGUUAUCACGGGAGACACACGGCGGGUGCUAACGUCCGUCGUGAAGAGGGAAACAACCCAGACCGCCAGCUAAGGUCCCAAAGUCAUGGUUAAGUGGGAAACGAUGUGGGAAGGCCCAGACAGCCAGGAUGUUGGCUUAGAAGCAGCCAUCAUUUAAAGAAAGCGUAAUAGCUCACUGGUCGAGUCGGCCUGCGCGGAAGAUGUAACGGGGCUAAACCAUGCACCGAAGCUGCGGCAGCGACGCUUAUGCGUUGUUGGGUAGGGGAGCGUUCUGUAAGCCUGCGAAGGUGUGCUGUGAGGCAUGCUGGAGGUAUCAGAAGUGCGAAUGCUGACAUAAGUAACGAUAAAGCGGGUGAAAAGCCCGCUCGCCGGAAGACCAAGGGUUCCUGUCCAACGUUAAUCGGGGCAGGGUGAGUCGACCCCUAAGGCGAGGCCGAAAGGCGUAGUCGAUGGGAAACAGGUUAAUAUUCCUGUACUUGGUGUUACUGCGAAGGGGGGACGGAGAAGGCUAUGUUGGCCGGGCGACGGUUGUCCCGGUUUAAGCGUGUAGGCUGGUUUUCCAGGCAAAUCCGGAAAAUCAAGGCUGAGGCGUGAUGACGAGGCACUACGGUGCUGAAGCAACAAAUGCCCUGCUUCCAGGAAAAGCCUCUAAGCAUCAGGUAACAUCAAAUCGUACCCCAAACCGACACAGGUGGUCAGGUAGAGAAUACCAAGGCGCUUGAGAGAACUCGGGUGAAGGAACUAGGCAAAAUGGUGCCGUAACUUCGGGAGAAGGCACGCUGAUAUGUAGGUGAAGUCCCUCGCGGAUGGAGCUGAAAUCAGUCGAAGAUACCAGCUGGCUGCAACUGUUUAUUAAAAACACAGCACUGUGCAAACACGAAAGUGGACGUAUACGGUGUGACGCCUGCCCGGUGCCGGAAGGUUAAUUGAUGGGGUCAGCGCAAGCGAAGCUCUUGAUCGAAGCCCCGGUAAACGGCGGCCGUAACUAUAACGGUCCUAAGGUAGCGAAAUUCCUUGUCGGGUAAGUUCCGACCUGCACGAAUGGCGUAAUGAUGGCCAGGCUGUCUCCACCCGAGACUCAGUGAAAUUGAACUCGCUGUGAAGAUGCAGUGUACCCGCGGCAAGACGGAAAGACCCCGUGAACCUUUACUAUAGCUUGACACUGAACAUUGAGCCUUGAUGUGUAGGAUAGGUGGGAGGCUUUGAAGUGUGGACGCCAGUCUGCAUGGAGCCGACCUUGAAAUACCACCCUUUAAUGUUUGAUGUUCUAACGUUGACCCGUGAUCCGGGUUGCGGACAGUGUCUGGUGGGUAGUUUGACUGGGGCGGUCUCCUCCUAAAGAGUAACGGAGGAGCACGAAGGUUGGCUAAUCCUGGUCGGACAUCAGGAGGUUAGUGCAAUGGCAUAAGCCAGCUUGACUGCGAGCGUGACGGCGCGAGCAGGUGCGAAAGCAGGUCAUAGUGAUCCGGUGGUUCUGAAUGGAAGGGCCAUCGCUCAACGGAUAAAAGGUACUCCGGGGAUAACAGGCUGAUACCGCCCAAGAGUUCAUAUCGACGGCGGUGUUUGGCACCUCGAUGUCGGCUCAUCACAUCCUGGGGCUGAAGUAGGUCCCAAGGGUAUGGCUGUUCGCCAUUUAAAGUGGUACGCGAGCUGGGUUUAGAACGUCGUGAGACAGUUCGGUCCCUAUCUGCCGUGGGCGCUGGAGAACUGAGGGGGGCUGCUCCUAGUACGAGAGGACCGGAGUGGACGCAUCACUGGUGUUCGGGUUGUCAUGCCAAUGGCACUGCCCGGUAGCUAAAUGCGGAAGAGAUAAGUGCUGAAAGCAUCUAAGCACGAAACUUGCCCCGAGAUGAGUUCUCCCUGACUCCUUGA
rnacentral:rRNA from 2 species